UACGUAGGUGGCGAGCGUUGUCCGGAAUUACUGGGCGUAAAGGGCGCGUAGGCGGCCUGUUAAGUCAGAUGUGAAACCCCCAGGCUCAACUUGGGGAUUGCAUAUGAAACUGAUGGGCUCGAGUGUCGGAGAGGAAAGCGGAAUUCCUAGUGUAGCGGUGAAAUGCGUAGAUAUUAGGAGGAACACCAGUGGCGAAGGCGGCUUUCUGGACGAUAACUGACGCUGAGGCGCGAAAGCGUGGGGAGCAAACAGG
rnacentral:rRNA from 2 species